rnacentral:lncRNA from 1 species
AUUCUACCCAUCUCCUUACUCAGGACGCCAUCGCGGGUUUCCCAGGGCCAACCAUUCCCGCCGCGCCACCCUAAGACGCGCCCGGCGCCCAAACACUGAGGAAGCGGGUGGGGUCCCCUGCGGCCCCUGCAGCGGGAGGGGCGCCCGGACGUCACAGCAGGGCCGCCCGCCCGCCUCGCGGCCUCCCGCCUCCCGCCCCGCGGACCCCGCGCGUCCCCCGCGCUCCUUCCGUGGCCCAGGUCCCAGGCGAGCUCCGCCCCUCAGACCAGCGCGCUCGAGGUCGCCCCGCCACAGCCCGUCCUCUACCCGCCUCUGCUGGAAAACAGGCCGCAGAAUAUAGGUGUUCUCGGGCUCCCCUGCGUUCUUCUCAGCCUCAGGCACCCCGUCGCCCACCGAGAAGGACACUCCGAUGGACGUGGCCAUGCCGGGGCUUCUCGGUCCGGGCGUAGCUCGCGAUGAAGGCCUAGCGGGUUGCGGUCGCGGCCGGCAGCAGGGAAAGCGUCUCCAGGGCAACAGGGCCGCCCUCCCGCCUCGCUGAAGCCCGCGAGCGCCCCGCACAGCCGCCCUCCCUGCCCGCGCCUGCGCACCGGCUGCUGGGCGGGAACUGGUCGCGUCCGGACGCGCGACAGCUUCCACCCGCCUCAGGCAGUAUCAGCCGCGCCGCAGUCGGAGGAAAUAGACGCGGGGCCUGAGGCUCCUGGACUUGAGAAAGGAUUCAAGACAGCCGAUGAUGAAAACACCCAUGCUUGCAAGUGAAGGUUCUGCCUGUCACUUCUCGCAGAGGCUGCAGAAAAGGCCCAGGAGGCUGUUGAUGACAUGAACGACCACCAGGAGAAGCUGGAGCAGGCUGAUGCACAGAAGGGCGGAGAAGAGGGACACGUGCCAGACAACAGCUGCAGAGGGCUCCAGGCAGACGGAGUUCCAGAGCGAACGGUCAUACAGAUAAUUCCUAUCCCAAAAAAUAAGGAGACCAGGGGUCAGGCGAUAAGUAAGGAAAGCCAAACAGGCAACCCCAGUAGAAAACUGGGGUCUCCCCUGACCGGGUCAUGGGACUGGGCUCAUGAGGGUGACCGUUACUGCUCCAUUUGCAAUUUUCUGAGUAUCAGAGGAGCAAGAUGCUAGGAUGUGUGACCCAAAGGAGCUUGUAGUUCGUCUGUGUGUCUUUUUGUCUCUCUCUCUCUCUCUGUCUGAAAAGACCAAGCCCAAGCCUCCACCCAUUUACCUACUAUGCAGGUCUUUGAAUGGGUAACCAUAUUUCCAAGCUUGUGUCUGAUUGAAGGAUGAAACAUCAAACAUGCAAAAAGGACCAUCUUUCAGAGCAACUCCAGAAGUGACAAAGCAAAUCAGGGCUCCAAGUAAAGCCAGGCCACCUGACAACAGAGCAGUAAGCACCUGCGGAGGGAGGAGAAACACUGAGCUAAGACGGGGUCGCAGCUGGGGAGCCUGCGGAGGGAGGAGAAACGCUGAGCUAAGACGGGGUCGCAGCUGGGGAGUCUGUGGGGCGGUCUGCACAGGUCUGACUUCUCUGGUCUCAGUGUUCUUCCGUCCUGUCAUGGGGGAGAAUUCUGUCCAUGGCACCCCCUUUGAAGCAUAACCCAUGGUGGGGAGGCCGUGAGGGGUUUCUAGGAGAGAAAGGACCAAGAAGCAGAAUCGCAGGCCCCGGAUCUCCCUGACCGUGAGUUCGCCUGAGCUGCUCAGCAGCUUGGCAUCACAAACCUUUUGCACAUUACAGCCAUUCAGCCUCUGAGCUAAAGAAGAAGCUACCACAGGCCCACCACUGACUCUUCUAAGGAAAAGCUGCAUUUUCAAAAGUUCCAGGUUCCCAACUCUGAUUCUUCUCUAUUUCAAAUCAAGGAUAAAAAAAAGGAAGGGAGGGAAGGAAGGAAAGAAAGAAGCAGGAAAGAAGGGAAGGAGAGAAGUGGGAGGGAGGGAAAGAAGGGAGAGAAACAGCGAGAGAGAAGCUGCAGCCAAGCUCUGAAAUGACUCCACUUCUGUCGCUGUGUUUCUCCAGCUGAGAGCUUUCUUGGCCAUCAGUCUGUGCUCCCACUGCCCUCCCAGAAAAUAACUGGGUUUCCUUCCUUGACAGGUUUCUAGCCUGCUUCUACAUUGGCUUCUUUCUCGUUCCUUCCUUCCUUCCCUUCCUUCCUUCUUUCUCUCUCUCUCUUUCUUUUUGAGACAGAGUCUCACUCUGUCGCCCAGGCUGGAGUGCAGUGGCACGAUCUCAGCUCACUGCAACCUCUGCCUCUGAGUUCAAGCGAUUCUCCUGCCUCAGCCUCCCAAGUAGCUGGGACUACAAGCAUGCGCCACCACACCCAGCUAAUUUUUGUAUUUUUAGUAGAAAUGGGGUUUCACUGUGUUGGUCAUGCCGGUCUCAAUCUCCUGACCUUGUGAUCCACCUGCUUCAGCCUCCCAAAGUGCUGGGAUUACAGGCAUGAGCCACCGUGCCCGGCCCAUAUUGGAUUCUUUCUUAGGGUUCUAGAUUUUUUUCUCCCUCCCCCAAAAAUGCCUAUUUUAAAAAUGUGAAUAACACCUACAUAGCGUUUUUCUGCAGAGUCAUGGAGUCAUUCUCCCACUGAGGUCAAGCUGGUUUGGAGUUGGGGAGGGAUCAGACAAAGGUGCAUAGUAAGUUUUGACUCUGAGUUAAAGGAGUCAAGAUGAAUCAGUAAGCCUAGGGCAGUGGUUCCCAAAAUGGGGUCCCUGCCCAGCCGCAUCACAUCACCUGAGAACCUGUUAGAAAUGCAAAACUUCCCCGCCAUCCUGAAUCAGAAACUCUGGGGAGGGAGCCCAGCAAUCCGUGUUCCGGCAAAAGCCCUCCAGGUGAUUCUCAUGCACAUUCAAGUGUCAGAACUACGUGCCACGGGGAAAACCAGAAUGAGAACAGACAGUGAAUGAAAUGUGCAAGUGUUUAUUUAUUUAUCUAUGUACUUAUUUAUUUAUUUAUUUUGAAACGGAGUCUCGCUCUGUCGCCCAGGCUGGAGUGCAGUGGCGCCAUCUCGGCUCACUGCAAGCUCCGCCUCCCGGGUUCAAGAGAUUUUCCUGCCUCAGCCUCCUGAGUUGCUGGGAUUACAGGCGCCCACCACCACGCCCAGCUAAUUUUUGUAUUUUUGGUAGAGACGGGGUUUCACCAUGUUGGCCAGGCUGGUCUCAAACUCCUGACCUCAGGUGAUCCGCCCAUCUUGGCCUCCCAAAGUGCUGGGAUUACAGGCGUGAGCCACCGCGCCUGGCCUAUAUUUGAUUUUUUAACAUGUAACUGAGUCAGUGGGCUUCCCAACAUGUGGGCUGCAGAUAUCAGAGCAGGCUGUGGAGUUACCAUAAGGCCACAGAUUCAUGUCUGAGAACGAGUGUGUGUGUGUGUGUGUGUGUGUGUUUGUUACACACACAUAUACUGAGAUCUUUCAAGUUUAUACAGUUGCUGCUGUAAUUAAUAAGGUAGAAAUUUAUUCUGGGCCUCAGUUUAUCUGUAAAAUGGAGGGGUUAGAUUAGAAUCUAGUGAUUAGAUGAUCUCUGGAAAACUUUCCUGUUCUAAGAAAAUAUUAGUUAAAAUAACUAGGAAAAUUUCCAUCAAUGACACAUGAUUACAGUGUCAUAACUCAUGUCCAUAUUGUCCAACACCCUAAGAGAGUAACAGUUUCUCACACUGGUACAGACGUCUGGGUCCUCACACUGGUACAGACGUCUGGGCUUCACUAAGCACUACUCCCUUGACUUGAUCAGCUCCCAUUUUACAGAUGAAAGCCUGAAACUGGAAAGAUGAAGCAACUUGCCCAAGAACUUAGCGUUACUGAGGGUCACAGUGAGGACCUGACUUCAGGCCCCAAGACCAAAAUUGCCUCUUUACCGCCCUGCCUCUAGAGUAAUAGAGGUGGAGACAUUCUGGGUGUUAGAAGAGUGGAAUCUGGUGCUUACGCUUCGACAGAGCCCACUCUUACUGAAGCAGCCGUAUCUCCAGCCCAUCAAGGAGAUGAGGAUAGCUGCAGUGAGUACCUGCAGGAGAGAGAAGAAUGUUGAGAUGGGGAAAUCGACUUUGCCGGCUGUUUCUAGGUGCUGCCCACAGCUGUUAGAGUGGCUGGCAGCUCACAUGAACGCAGUCCUGUUGACUCUGACUCUGGGGACCCACAUUUGUAUGACGAGCCUGAUCUAACGCUGUGGAUGUUAACUUUCACACCCGACCUGCCUGGUCCCAAGCUAGGCUUCCUGUCUCUUAGAGCUUCUACAGACCCAAGAUCAGCUUGUUAGAAUAAACUUUUCUGCAAG